rnacentral:rRNA from 1 species
UACGAAGGGGGCUAGCGUUGCUCGGAAUCACUGGGCGUAAAGCGCACGUAGGCGGAUCGUUAAGUCGGAGGUGAAAUCCUGGAGCUCAACUCCAGAACUGCCUUCGAUACUGGCGAUCUUGGAGUCCGGGAGAGGUGAGUGGAACUCCGAGUGUAGAGGUGAAAUGCGCAGAUAUCAGGAAGAACACCCGUGGCGAAGGCAGCUCUCUGGGACGGUACUGACGCUGAGACGCGAAAGCGUGGGGAGCGAACAGG